AACGAAUAAACAAAAACACUGUUGCCUAUAAACAGUACGUUUAAUGGGGGAAUAAAUAAUUUCCCUGAGCAUACAGCAGAAAUAUGCAAAACUGCCACCUGGAGCCUACAACCAGCAUAAAAUUUGCUCAUUCCUUUAAAAGAUGCUUAUCAAUAAGCACAGUGGCUGCCAGGACACCGUGUACUGCCAGCCAAGAACCAAAAAGCUGGGCAUUUUGAUCUAUACAGGUUAAUUUCAGAUAGAUGAGGGGCCUCUUUAAGGCCAUUUGAAGUGGUCAGAAUAGUUCAAAGGUCACUAUUACUCCCUCCUCAGUUUCCCCAGUCAUCUCUGAGGCCCCCAUCUACCUAGCCUACUUAGAGAGUAUGCGUUCAGGCCAGGACCUGAGCUUCUUCAUGGGAUCAGAGCAGCGUGCUGGGCCCAGUGCAGGCAAUGCCUUAAUGGAUGCUAUCGAAGUUGGUAUCUCGACUUGCCCAACACCAGGGCCAGGGCAGUCUUGCUCCUGACCGCUGUGCUGGCAGCCCAGACACUGGGACUUCAUGCACAGGGAGGAGGUGACCCUCCUGUAGCUCAUUUUAGCAGACACCUGAGUUUUUAAAUGAGAGCAUUGGCAAAAGGUCUUCUAUGUUAAGGACAUAAAUCCUCCCCUUUGGAGGUGGAGGUAGAGGUAGAAGGAGAACGAGAGAGGCAGGUAAUAACUUGAGUCUUUAUAGUUUUUAAAUUUGGAAGAGCCGGGCACAGUGGCUCACGCCUGUAAACCCAGCACUUUGGCAGGCUAAGGUGGGUGGAUCACCUGAGUUCAGGAGUUCGAGACUAGCCUGGCCAACAUGGUGAAAUCCUGUCUCUACUAAAAAUACAAAAAUUAGCCAGGCAUAAUGGCAGACGCCUAUAGUUCCAGCUACUUCGGAGGCUGAGGCAGGAGAAUUGCUUGAACCUGGGAGGCAGAGGUUGCAGUGAGCUGAGAUUGUGCCAUUGCACUUCAGCCUGGGCGACAAGAACAAAAUUCCGUCUCAAAAAAAAAAUUUGAAACGGGGAGUCACUGACCCUUGGAAAACCUGAUGAUGGCUACAAAUGCUAUCCCUGGAAACACACACAUGCACACAUGCACACACACGCACACAUGCAUGCACGCACACACGCGCACGCACACACGCACACGCACACACGCGCACACACAUGCACACACAUACAGUAAAUCACUCCAGUCGUGACCCUUCCAAGACGUGUCUAUAGCCUCCUGCCCCACACAGGUUAAGAAAAAAUAUCCAAAACUUGGAAAUGAGGCAAAAGCAUGUCUGAAUGUGAUUUCAGUGUCACACUUGAUCAUUGCCUAACCGUCCCAUUCAAGGAUUCGCUUAUUUUCUAGGGAACAGUAACUUGGACAAGGCCCCAGAGUCUGUGAAGUUACAUGUGAGCUGGUAGAUUUUUGCCCAACAGAAAUUCAAAGGAUUUCCAGUUGAUAGAAAAAAGAAUUCCCCAAGGUUAUGAUUUUAUUGCCUGCAGGACAUUAACCAGUUUUGUAGCAAUCUUAUGGCAGCUUUGUUUUCUUUCCCUUUUAUUCUUAAGAUGGAGUUUCACUCUGUCACCCAGAAUGGAGUGCAGUGGUGUGAUCUGGGCUCACUACAACCUCCACCUCCUGGGUUCAAGCAUUUUUCCUGCCUCAGCCUCCUGAGUAGCUGGGACUACAGGUGCCCGCCUGCUCAGUGGCUCUGUCUCCAGCCUGGCUCUCCUUUGAGCUCCCACCCUGCCACUCUGGCAUCACCUUUCUGAUCCCCUUAAAUCCUCACUAGAGCCCACCCUUACCCCCCAUCCCUACUGCCACCCCCAGAGAAAUGACUUCAUUCACUUGUUCCCUGGGGCCAAGUUACCCACCGGGAGAAGUCAAGUCUCGGUUGCCAGCAAAGCAGGACCACAAAGAAAAGAAAAAUUAGGGUGUGUGGGUGUGUGUGUGUAUGUGUUUUCUAUGUCAAAGCAGCAAAUAGGGCACGGUGGCUGAAGCCUAUAAUCCCAGCACUUUGGGAGGUUGAUGUGGGUGGAUCACUUGAGGUCAGGAGUUCAAGGCCAGCCUGGCCAACAUGAUGAAACCCCAUCUCUACCAAAAUUACAAAAAAAAAAAAAAAAUAGCUGGGUGUGGUGGCACACACCUGUAGUCCUAGCUACCUGGGAGGCUGAGGCAGGAGAAUCGCUUGAACCUGGGAGGCAGAGGUUGCAGUGAGCCGAGAUCAUGCCACUGCACUCCAGCCUGGGCAAGAGUGAGAAUCUGUCUCAAAAAAAAAAAAAAAAAAAAGAAAAAAGAAAAAAAGAAAGAAAAAAGAAAAGAGAAAAAAGAAAAAAAAAGAAAGCAGCAAAUACCUAUCAGAACCUCGGUGGACCUCUUUUUUUUUUGAGGCGGAGUCUCGCUCUGUCACCCAGGCUGGAGUGCAGUGGCGCAAUCUCGGCUCACUGCAAGCUCCGCCUCCCGGGUUCACGCCAUUCUCCUGCCUCAGCCUCCCGAGUAGCUGGGACUACAGGCUCCCGCCGUCAUGCCCAGCUAAUUUUUUUUGUAUUUUUAGUAGAGACGGAGUUUCACCGUGUUAGCCAGGAUGGUCUCGAUCUCCUGACCUCGUGAUCUGCCCGCCUCGGCCUCCCAAAGUGCUGGGAUUACAGGCGUGAGCCACCGCACCUGGCCAAUGGACUUUCUUAUGCUUAUUUAACAGUUUAGCACACAUCUUUAUGAGACAAAGCAGCAAAUGUAAGAAACCGCGUUUACUCAUUUCUGUUUGCAGCGUCAUUUCACAAAGACCCUGAUUCUGACUUGCAGCUCUCCAGAAGGAUGCUUUGAAGACAAAACAGGACAGAGUCCAUGGCCCCCAUGCCUCUUGCCUGAGUUACUAUAUUUCUUAAACGAUAAGUGACCCUACUUCUUGCCUUUUCCUGCACAUAAGAUGACGUCAGCUGGGCGCAGUGGCUCAGGCCUGUAAUCCCAGCAAUUUGGGAGGCCGAGGCCAGCCGAUCAUCUGAGGUCGGAAGUUGGAGACCAGCCUGGCCAACAUGGAGAAACCCUAUCUCUACUAAAAAUACAAAGUUAGCCGGGCGUGGUGGCGAACGCCUGUAAUCCCUGCUACUCGGGAGGCUGAGGCAGGAGAAUUGCUUGAACCCGGGAGGCGGAGGUUGCAGUGAGUCGAGAUCACGCCAUUGCACUCCAGCCUGGGCAAUAAGACCGAAACUCUGUCUCAAAAGAAAUAAAAAUAAAUAACAUUUAACAAGGUUAGUGAUUAUGCCUCUGUAAUCUAUAACCAAAUAUAGCCAAACCCAACUUCUGAUGUGAUUCUGCGUCAAUGUAACUUCUGAGAAAGCUUGAUGUGAUUUUGCACACAGGGAACCUCCACCACAGGUAUAUAAGGUGUGACCUGAAACACCGUGGCGGAGCAAUAUGAUGGAACUGCUUCUGGGCUAGAGGCCUCAGUCAAUAGUCCUCAGCAAGAUCUCUGAAUAAACUAAAGCUUCAAAAGCUUGAUUUUUUUUUUCUUUAGUCGACACCUUUCAAAUUACAUAUGAAGAGGUUGCCAUAAUCCUUUUAGCAGUUAGGACCUGGAACGAUUUUUUGUUGUUUGUUUUUUGAGACAGGGUCUCCCUUUGUCACCCAGGCUGGAGUGCAGUGGUGCAGUGGCACAAUCUCAGUUCCCUGCAGCCUCGACUUCCUGGGCUCAAGUGAUCCUCCUGCCUCAGCCUCCCCAGUAGCUGGGACUAUAGGUGAAUGCCACACCUGGCUAAGUUUUAUAUUUUUAGUAGAGACAGGAUUUCACCAUGUUGCCCAGUCUGUAGGUCCUGGAAAGAGGAAAGAUCUAAAUCUGGCCCUGGUCUUACCCAUAUUCACUCAUUGGAUCAUGCAUUCAUGCAUUCUGCAAAUAUGUAUUGAGCCCCCAUACUUGUGCCAGCACUAUUCUAGACACUGGGACUCUCAGGGAGUGAACAGAGCAUUUUAACCAAGCUACAAAUUCUAGUGAGAGAGGUGGUCAAGAAACAGAUUCAUGUGAAAAGUGCAAAGGAGGCCAGAUGCGGUGGCUUAAGCCUGUAAUCCCAAUACUUUGGGAGACAGAGGUGGGUGGACCACGAGGUCAGGAGUUCGAGACCAGCCUGGCCAACAUGGCGAAACCCCUGUCUCUACUAAAAAUACAAAAAUUAGCCAGGCAUGAUGGCAGGUGCCUGUAAUCCCAACUACUCGGGACCCUGAAGCAGGAGAAUCGCUUGAACCUGGGAGGCGGAGGGUGCAGUGAGCUGAGAUCGUGCCAUUGCACUCCAGCCUGGGCGACAAGAGCAAGACUCCAUCUAAAAAUAAAAAUAAAAAUAAAAAAUAAAAAAAUAAAAAGCAAAGGAGAAAAACAAACCAGGGAGUCGGGCAGAGUGUGGCUCUGGCAUGGGGUGGGUGGGGACUAGCUUACAGAUUUGAUAGACCAUAAGCCCCCUAGGGCUGGAAACCCUGGAAACCAGAACCAGAUACAUAACUUGGGUUUCAGAAAUGUUAGCUGAAUGACUGAGUGAUGGUUGGGAUGGACGGGUGGAGGGUUGGGGCUCUGCAGGCUUAGCUGCCUGGUGCCCCUCCAUCUGGCCCUUCCCUUCCAGGCCCUCACCCCAUUUCCAUGUCUCCCACAGGAACCUCUAAACUGUCCCCAUGUGUGCCCUUCUUCGCGGUCACCUUCUGUGCCCCAACAUCUUUGAGGCAAUCUGUGGCCUCCAGGCAGAACAGGCUUCAAAAUUUGUCAAGCAAAGUGAAAUGAAGGCUGAGACCUUUGAUCAAAAACUAUGAAGAAUUUCAAGCUGAGGUGGGAAGAUCGCUUGAAACCAGGAGUUUGAGACCAGCCUGGGCAACAAAGCCAGACCUUGUCUCUACCAAAAAUAAAAAAUUACCUGGUGGUGUGCCUGUAGUCCCAGCUACUUGAGAGGCUGAGGUAAGAGAAUGGCUUCAGCUUGAGCCCAGGAGUUCGAGGCUGCAGUGAGCUAUGAUCGCACCACUGCACUCCAGCCUGGGUGACAGAGCUCUCGAGACUCAGUCUCCAAAAUAAAUAAAUACAUAAAAUUGAAAAAAAUUUUAAAAAACAAGAAAGGAAUUUCAAGCCAGUGACUGCAGAGCAUGAAACUAACCACGAAGCCCUGUUAAGUUCUCCCCUUGUGUGACUGUGCGAGUUGCAUUUCCCGGAAGCUGGCCCUUCCUCUCAGGCAGGCCGGAAAGACCUCCUAGAGAUCUGUGCCCAAACGACCUUUCCAACCUGGGCUCACAAACCUCACUGGGCUCUGUGCUCUCUCCACUGAAAACCUCACCCCACCUCCUGCCUCUGAGCAUCUGUUCUCGCUGUUCCCUCUGCCCAGCGUGCCUUUCCACUCACUUCUUCUUGUUUUUGUGCACAGCCAUGGAUCAGGUGCCAGGAGAGGAGACGGAGGCAAAGCAGGGCCAGUCAGCUCUCCAGAGAAGACACUCUCAGAGGGCAGCUGCAGCCUUGCUCCACUGCAAGGCUCAAGCAGAAGCUUCCUCUGCUGCAAAAUGGAGCAGCCAUAAGAACCACGAUGCAGGAUCUGAGAUGGAAUCAUACAGUAUGGGAUCUUUUGUGUCUGGUUUCUCUGCGUAAUGCUUCCGUCCAGGUUGUGGACUGUUAUGCUUUCAGGCUUUCCAUUGAAAACUUGGAUCCGGCCAGGUGCAGUGGCUCACGCCUGUAAUCCCAACACUUUGGGAGGCCGAGGUGGGUGGAUCAACUGAGGUCGGGAGUUCAAGACCAGCCUGACCAACAUGGAGAAACCCCAUCUCUUAAAAAUACAAAACUAGGCCGGGCGCGGUGGCUCACGCCUGUAAUCCCAGCACUUUGGGAGGCCGAGAUGGGCAUAUCACGAGGUCAGGAGAUCGAGACCAUCCUGGCUAACACAGUGAAACCCCGUCUCUACUAAAAAUACAGAAAAUUAGCCGGGCGUGGUGGUGGGCACCUGUAGUCCCAGCUACUCGGGAGGCUGAGGCAGGAGAAUGACGUGAACCCGGGAGGCGGAGCUUGCAGUGAGCCGAGAUUGCGCCAUUGCACUCCAGCAUGGGGGACAGAGCGAGACAAAAAAAAAAAAAAAAAAAAAACCCAAAAUUAGCCAGGCAUGGUAGAACAUGCCUGUAAUCCCAGCUACGCAGGAGGCUGAGGCAGGAGAAUUGCUUGAACCAGGUAGGCGGAGGUUGCCAUGAGCCAAGAUCAUGCCAUUGCACUCCCGCCUGGGCAAACAAGAGUGAAACUCUGUCUCAAAAAAAAAAAAAAAAGUCCCUCUCCCGUCUCCCGUCUCCCGUCUCCCGUCUCCCGUCUCCCGUCUCCCAUCUCCCUCUCCCCACGGUCUCCCUCUGCCUCUCUUUCCACGGUCUCCCUCUGAUGCUGAGCUGAAGCUGGACUGUACUGCUGCCAUCUCUGCUCACUGCAACCUCCCUGCCUGAUUCUCCUGCCUCAGCCUGCCGAGUGCCUGCGAUUGCAGGCACGCGCUGCACGCCUGACUGGUUUUCGUAUUUUUUUUGGUGGAGACGGGAUUUCGCUGUGUUGGCCGGGCCGGUCUCCAGCUCCUAACCGCGAGUGAUCCGCCAGCCUCGGCCUCCCGAGGUGCCGGGAUUGCAGACGGGAGUCUCGUUCACUCAGUGCUCAAUGGUGCCCAGGCUGGAGUGCAGUGGCGUGAUCUCGGCUCGCUACAACCUCCACCUCCCAGCCGCCUGCCUUGGCCUCCCAAAAUGCGGAGAUUGCAGCCUCUGCCCGGCCGCCACCCCAUCUGGGAAGUGAGGAGCGUCUCUGCCUGGCCGCCCAUCGUCUGGGAUGUGAGGAGCCCCUCUGCCUGGCUGCCCAGUCUGGAAAGUGAGGAGCGUCUCAGCCCGGCCGCCAUCCCAUCUAGGAAGUGAGGAACACCUCUUCCCGGCCGCCAUCACAUCUAGGAAGUGAAGAGCGUCUCUGCCCGGCCGCCCAUCGUCUGAGAUGUGGGGACCGCCUCUGCCCCGCCGCCCCAUCUGGGAUGUGAGGAGCGCCUCUGCCCGGCCGCGACCCCGUCUGGGAGGUGAGGAGCGUCUCUGCCCGGCCGCCCCGUCUGAGAAGUGAGGAGACCCUCUGCCUGGCAACCGCCCCGUCUGAGAAGUGAGGAGCCCCUCCGCCCGGCAGCCACCCCGUUUGGGAAGUGAGGAGCCUCUCCGCCGGGCAGCCACCCCGUCCGGGAGGGAGGUGGCGGGGUCAGCCCCCCGCCCGGCCAGCCGCCCCGUCCGGGAGGUGAGGGGCGCCUCUGCCCGGCCGCCCCUACUGGGAAGUGAGGAGCCCCUCUGCCAGGCCACCACCCCGUCUGGGAGGUGUACCCAACAGCUCAUUGAGAAUGGGCCAUGAUGACGAUGGCGGUUUUGUGGAAUAGAAAAGGGGGAAAGGUGGGGAAAAGAUUGAGAAAUCGGAUGGUUGCCGUGUCUGUGUAUAAAGAAGUAUACAUGGGAGACUUUUCAUUUUGUUCUGUACUAAGAAAAAUUCUUAUGCCCUGGGAUCCUGUUGAUCUGUGACCUUACCCCCAACCCUGUGCUCUCUGAAACGAGUGCUGUGUCCACUCAGGGUUAAAUGGAUUAAGGGCGGUGCAAGAUGUGCUUUGUUAAACAGAUGCUUGAAGGCAGCAUGCUCGUUAAGAGUCAUCACCACUCCCUAAUCUCAAGUACCCAGGGACACAAACACUGCGGAAGGCCUCAGGGUCCUCUGCCUAGGAAAACCAGAGACCUUUGUUCACUUGUUUAUCUGCUGACCUUCCCUCCAUUAUUGUCCUAUGACCCUGCCAAAUCCCCCUCUGCGAGAAACACCCAAGAAUGAUCAAUAAAAAAUAAAUAAAUAAAUAAAAAGAAAGAAGAAAAAGAAAACUUGGAUCCACGUGGAUUUUAUUCUGGUGUCGGACGUGAAAUAUGCAUAACUUUCUUCGAUUUUUCCCAAGGUUGUGCCGUGUGUGUCCCUGGCAACCUGGAGGAAAGGAUUUGGUCGGGCAGUUAGCCCAGUGUGGGGAGGUGACAUUUGCAGAGACUGAAGACAGGAGGCACAGUCUCCUCCAUACACAGAGACCACAGACGGAGAGAGCUGCAUGUGCAAAGGUCUCAAGGUGGGAGGAAGCUUGGCUCAUUCCCAGAACAGCAAGGCCAGUGCGGCUGUAGGUGCUGGGGAAGCAAGGAGGACAGGGAUGGGUUCCUGGAGGGGCCAGCCCAGGUAGGACCUAGUAGGUAACUGUGGAGUCUGGCUUGGAUUUGGGCUCUAAUGGUACCGAGGAGCUGCAGGCAAGAUCUUUAAAACUGUUCACUUGAUAAGAUAAGACCCAGACGGGAAACUGGGGGGCCUAAGGUUAUGGACAGUUCAAAUUUUGCUGCAAAUUGGCUGGGCGUGGUGGCUCACACCUAUAAUCCCAGCACUUUGGGAGGCUGAGGCAUGUGGAUCACCUGAGGUCAGGAGUUUGAGACCAGCCUGACCAACAUGGUGAAACCCAGUCUCUACUAAAAAUACAAAAAUUAGCC
rnacentral:lncRNA from 10 species